ACGAACGCUGGCGGCGUGCUUAACACCUGCAAGUCGAACGGAAAGGCCCCUUUGGGGGUCCUCGAGUGGCGAACGGGUGAGUAACACGUGAGUAACCUGCCCUUGACUUCGGGAUAACUUCAGGAAACUGGGGCUAAUACCGGAUAGGAAUCCUUGCUGCAUGGUGGGGGUUGGAAAGCUUCGGCGGUUUUGGAUGGACUCGCGGCUUAUCAGCUUGUUGGUGGGGUAGUGGCUUACCAAGGCUUUGACGGGUAGCCGGCCUGAGAGGGCGACCGGCCACAUUGGGACUGAGAUACGGCCCAGACUCCUACGGGAGGCAGCAGUGGGGAAUAUUGCACAAUGGGCGGAAGCCUGAUGCAGCAACGCCGCGUGCGGGAUGACGGCCUUCGGGUUGUAAACCGCUUUCAGCAGGGGCGAAGCUUGUGGUGACGGUACCUGCAGAAGAAGCACCGGCUAACUACGUG
rnacentral:rRNA from 1 species